rnacentral:rRNA from 1 species
GAUGAACGCUGGCGGCGUGCCUAAUACAUGCAAGUCGAGCGAACAGACGAGGAGCUUGCUCCUUGGACGUUUGCGGCGGACGGGUGAGAAACACGUGGAUAACGUACCUAUAAUACUGGGAUAACUUCGGGAAACCGGAGCUAAUACCGUAUAAUAUAUUGAACCGCAUGGGUCAAUGGUGAAAUACGGUUGUUGUGGCACGUAUAGAGGGAUCCGCGCCGUAUUAGCUAGUUGGUAAGGUAAAGGGUUUGUACGGCAACGAUGCGUAACCGACGUGAGAGGGUGGUCGGCGACCUUGGAAGGGAGCCAGGGUCAAUGCGCCUACGGGAGGCAGCAGUAGGGAAUGUUCCGCAGUGGGCGAAAGCCUGACGGAGUAAGCCGGCGUGAGUUAUAAAGGCCUUGGGAUCGUAAAACUCGGUUAUGAGGGAAGAACAAAUGUGUACGUAACUAUGCACGUCUUGACGGUACCUAAUCAGAAAGCCACGGCUAACUACGUG